rnacentral:rRNA from 1 species
UCGGGCAUGACCGGGAGCUUGCUGCUCUGAUUUAGCGGCGGACGGGUGAGUAAUGCCUAGGAAUCUGCCUGGUAGUGGGGGAUAACGUUCCGAAAGGAACGCUAAUACCGCGUACGUCCUACGGGAGAAAGCAGGGGACCUUCGGGCCUUGCGCUAUCAGAUGAGCCUAGGUCGGAUUAGCUAGUUGGUGAGGUAAUGGCUCACCAAGGCGACGAUCCGUAACUGGUCUGAGAGGAUGAUCAGUCACACUGGAACUGAGACACGGUCCAGACUCCUACGGGAGGCAGCAGUGGGGAAUAUUGGACAAUGGGCGAAAGCCUGAUCCAGCCAUGCCGCGUGUGUGAAGAAGGUCUUCGGAUUGUAAAGCACUUUAAGUUGGGAGGAAGGGUUGUAGAUUAAUACUCUGCAAUUUUGACGUUACCAACAGAAUAAGCACCGGCUAACUUCGUGCCAGCAGCCGCGGUAAUACGAAGGGUGCAAGCGUUAAUCGGAAUUACUGGGCGUAAAGCGCGCGUAGGUGGUUCGUUAAGUUGGAUGUGAAAGCCCCGGGCUCAACCUGGGAACUGCAUCCAAAACUGGCGAGCUAGAGUACGGUAGAGGGUGGUGGAAUUUCCUGUGUAGCGGUGAAAUGCGUAGAUAUAGGAAGGAACACCAGUGGCGAAGGCGACCACCUGGACUGAUACUGACACUGAGGUGCGAAAGCGUGGGGAGCAAACAGGAUUAGAUACCCUGGUAGUCCACGCCGUAAACGAUGUCAACUAGCCGUUGGAAUCCUUGAGAUUUUAGUGGCGCAGCUAACGCAUUAAGUUGACCGCCUGGUGGAGUACGGCCGCCCGGUUAGAACUCACAGGUAUUUGACGGGGGGCCCGCACCAACAGAUGCAGCGUGUGGUUUUAAUUCAAAGCAACGCGAAAGAACCUUACCUGGCCCUUGACUUGCGCAGGACUUUCCAGAAAACAAA